rnacentral:rRNA from 1 species
UAGUGAGUUUGAUCCUGGCUCAGAUUGAACGCUGGCGGCAUGCUUUACACAUGCAAGUCGAACGGCAGCGCGGGGCAACCUGGCGGCGAGUGGCGAACGGGUGAGUAAUAUAUCGGAACGUACCCAAGAGUGGGGAUAACGUAGCGAAAGUUACGCUAAUACCGCAUACGAUCUAAGGAUGAAAGCAGGGGACCGCAAGGCCUUGUGCUCCUGGAGCGGCCGAUAUCUGAUUAGCUAGUUGGUGGGUAAAACGCCUACCAAGGCAUCGAUCAGUAGCUGGUCUGAGAGGACGACCAGCCACACUGGGGACUGACGACACGGCCCAGACUCCGUACGGGA